rnacentral:rRNA from 1 species
GUCUACAGGCAUAUCACUCUGAAUGUACCUGAUCUUGUCUGAUCCUGGAAACUAAGCAGGGUUGGGCCUGGUUAACACUUGGAUGGGAGGCCACUUGGGAAUAUCGGGUGCUGUAGGCU